rnacentral:siRNA from 1 species
AUAGAGAAACCGCCAUGGAUUGAC